CCGGGAAGAGCUCAAAUUUGAAUCUGGCGUCCUCAGGGCGUCCGAGUUGUAAUCUAUAGAGGCGUUUUCCGUGCCGGACCGUGUCCAAGUUCCUUGGAACAGGAUAUCAAAGAGGGUGACAAUCCCGUACUUGACACGACGACCGGUGCUCUGUGAUACGUCUUCUACGAGUCGAGUUGUUUGGGAAUGCAGCUCAAAAUGGGUGGUGAGUUCCAUCUAAAGCUAAAUAUUGGCGAGAGACCGAUAGCGAACAAGUACCGUGAGGGAAAGAUGAAAAGCACUUUGGAAAGAGAGUUAAACAGUACGUGAAAUUGUUGAAAGGGAAACGAUUGAAGUCAGUCGUGACCGAGAGGCUCAGCCGGUUCUGCCGGUGUAUUCCCCUCGGUCGGGUCAACAUCAGUUUUGUCCGGUGGAUAAGGACGGUAGGAAGGUGGCACCCUCGGGUGUGUUAUAGCCUGCCGUCGCAUACAUCGGGUGAGACUGAGGAACGCAGCUCGCCUUUAUGGCCGGGGUUCGCCCACGUCCGAGCUUAGGAUGUUGACAUAAUGGCUUUAAACGACCCGUCUUGAAACACGGGA
rnacentral:rRNA from 1 species